AUUGAACGCUGGCGGCAGGCCUAACACAUGCAAGUCGAACGAGUGGCGGACGGGUGAGUAAUGUCUGGGAAACUGCCCGAUGGAGGGGGAUAACUACUGGAAACGGUAGCUAAUACCGCAUACCAUCGGAUGUGCCCAGAUGGGAUUAGCUAGUAGGUGGGGUAACGGCUCACCUAGGCCACGAUCCCUAGCUGGUCGGAGAGGAUGACCGGCCACACUGGAGCUGAGACACGGGCCAGACUGCUAAGGGUGGCAGCAGUGGGAAAGAUUGCACGAUGGGCGCAAGCCGAAUGCAGCCAUGCCGCGUGUAUGAAGAGGGCCUUCAGGUUGUAAAGUAGUUUCAGCGAGGAGGCGUUACUCGCAGAAGAAGCACCGGCUAACUCCGUGCCAGCAGCCGCGGUAAUUC
rnacentral:rRNA from 1 species